rnacentral:rRNA from 1 species
UACGUAGGGGGCAAGCGUUGUCCGGAAUCAUUGGGCGUAAAGAGCGUGUAGGCGGCCUGAUAAGUCGGCUGUGGAAGUCAAGGGCUCAACCCUUGAAUGCCGGCCGAUACUGUCAGGCUAGAGUCCGGAAGAGGCGAGUGGAAUUCCUGGUGUAGCGGUGAAAUGCGCAGAUAUCAGGAGGAACACCUAUGGCGAAGGCAGCUCGCUGGGACGGUACUGACGCUGAGACGCGAAAGCGUGGGGAGCGAACAGG